AACGAACGCUGGCGGCAUGCCUAACACAUGCAAGUCGAACGAGACCUUCGGGUCUAGUGGCGCACGGGUGCGUAACGCGUGGGAACCUGCCCUUAGGUUCGGAAUAACUCCCCGAAAGGGGUGCUAAUACCGGAUAAUGUCUUCGGACCAAAGAUUUAUCGCCUUUGGAUGGGCCCGCGUUGGAUUAGCUAGUUGGUAGGGUAAAAGCCUACCAAGGCGACGAUCCAUAGCUGGUCUGAGAGGAUGAUCAGCCACACUGGGACUGAGACACGGCCCAGACUCCUACGGGAGGCAGCAGUGGGGAAUAUUGGACAAUGGGCGAAAGCCUGAUCAAGCAAUGCCGCGGGAGUGAUGAAGGCCUUAGGGUUGUAAAGCUCUUUUACCCGGGAUGAUAAUGACAGUACCGGGAAAAUAAGCUCCGGCUAACUCCGUG
rnacentral:rRNA from 1 species